rnacentral:rRNA from 1 species
CGCCCUACGGGGGGCAGCAGUGGGGAAUAUUGGGCAAUGGGCGCAAGCCUGACCCAGCAACGCCGCGUGAAGGAAGAAGGCUUUCGGGUUGUAAACUUCUUUUGUCAGGGACGAAGCAAGUGACGGUACCUGAUGAAUAAGCCACGGCUAACUACGUGCCAGCAGCCGCGGUAAUACGUAGGUGGCAAGCGUUAUCCGGAUUUACUGGGUGUAAAGGGCGUGUAGGCGGGAGUGCAAGUCAGAUGUGAAAACUAUGGGUGCAACCCAUAGCCUGCAUUUGAAACUGUACUUUU